UGUAGCCCCGCCCUAAAGCGGCUCUAUGGUCUGUAUGGAAGCAGACUCAGGAUCAGUCCAUCACAUAUUAGCACUGAAGCAUCGGAGCAGAACGGUAGAGAGCAAUAAACAAAUACUGUAGGUUUAUGUUUUUAUUUAGGAAUAUUAAUUAUAUAUUAUAUAUAUUAUUAAUAAUAUAUCCAGCUGUGUCUCCAGCUGUGUCUCCAGCUGUGUCUCCAGCUGUGAGCUGUGUCUCCAGCUCUGUCUCCAGCUGUGAGCUGUGUCUCCAGCUCUGUCUCCAGCUGUGUCUCCAGCUGUGAGCGCUGUAUCCAGCUGUGUCUCCAGCUGUGUCUCCAGCUGUGUCUCCAGCUGUGAGCGCUGUAUCCAGCUGUGUCUCCAGCUGUGUCUCCAGCUGUGUCUCCAGCUGUGAGCGCUGUAUCCAGCUGUGUCUCCAGCUGUGUCUCCAGCUGUGUCUCCAGCUGUGUCUCCAGCUGUGAGCGCUGUAGGUUAACUCUCUGUGUCCGCUCU